ensembl:lncRNA
UUGUUGUUAUUUCUUGGGCCGCUCCCGCGGCAUAUGGAGGUUCCCAGGCUCGGGGUCGAAUCAGAGCUGUAGCCACCGGCCUACACCAGAGCCACAGCAACGCGGGAUCCGAGCCGCGUCUGCACCCUACACCACAGCUCACGGCAACGCCGGAUCGUUAACCCACUGAGCAAGGGCAGGGACCGAACCCGCAACCUCAUGGUUCCUAGUCGGAUUCGUUAACCACUGCGCCACGACGGGAACUCCCUUAUACAGUCUUAUUUAAAAUUUUCCUUAGCUUUAAUUUACAACACAGUAAAUAUCAAUAAAUGUAACCACAUAAGCAAAAGCUCUUUGGAAUUUAAGAAUUUAAAGGGAUCAUGAGACCAAAAAGCUUUGAGACAUACUAAUCUAAAGCAAGUCAGUUUUGAAAAACACUGAUAUGAAUUGGAUCAUUGCACACAUACACACCUCUUUCUAUAACCUGGUACCAAAGUUUUCAACAAUUUUGCUGAUUGUACAGCCAUCUAAAAACUGCUCUCAACCAGGAACCCCAAUCUAAGUCCCCUAAACAUAGCUUGUUCACUUCUGCCUUUGAGUUUUCUUUCAUACUCUGUUCCUAAAAUAACCUUAGGCCUAUUUUUGACAGAUAAAUCCUAUCAUUUGGAUAUCUGCAAUUGCUGGCUCUGCCUUAUGUCUUAUUUUUUUGGAAAUGACCCUGGAAUUCAUGUGGGAAGGCAAUUUUUGUGGCCCUAGCUUUCCAUGAAUGAGAAAUCCACAGUAGACAAUCAGAGUAACCCACUCCUUUAGCAUAACCAUUAUUGCAAUGUGCAGAUUGCACAGGAAGGCCCAACCAGAGAAUUAUGCAUGAAGGUCACUGUGGAAAGAACUCCAUUUAUAUUAUUUUAUUUUAUUUUAUUUUUUAUGUUCAUUAAUGACUUUAAUUUUUUCCAUUAUAGUUGGUUUACAGUGUUCUGUAAAUUUCUACUGUACAGCAAAGUGACCCAGUCACAUAUGUGUUUGUGUGUGUGUGCGUGUGCAUGUGUAUACACACACAUAUUCUUUUUCUCACAUUAUCCUCCAUCAUGUUCCAUCAUAAGUGUCUAGAUAUAGUUCCCUGUGCUACACAGCAAGAUCUCAUUGCUUAUCCACUGCAAAUAUUAUUUUAAAAGUGUGGCAUUCUCAUCGUGGCUCAGUGGUAAUGAACCUGGUGAGUAUACAUGAGAAUGCAGGUUCAACCUCUGGCCUCACUCAGUGGGUUAAGGAUCCAGCAUUGCCGAGAGCUGUGGUGUAGUUUGCAGAUGAGGCUCAGAUCCUGUGUGGCCGUGGCUGUGGGAUAAGCCACCAGCUACAGCUCAGAUUCAACCCCUAGCCUAGGAACUUGCAUAUGCUGCAUGUGCAGCCUAAAAAAGCAAAAAAAAUAAAAGUAUCUAAGUCUUCCCUUCACUAUACAUCUGUGUAUGACCUCACUUCCUUGUGUGUCAUUGCUCCCAGCAAUGCCUAUGUUGUUUCGUUUACAUUCUAAUGGAGCCUCAUGCUAUGUUCCAAUACUUCUUCAUUCUUUUAUGUUUUUGUUUCAUUCUUGCAAAAACAGUAAGUACACAGGGGUACUGAUUCAGCCUCUGCAUCUAAGUGGAUUUAUUUGUGUGUGUGUGUGUCUUUCUUAGAACUCUAGGAAGACCUCUAAAUUUUAUUACAGUUUUUGAAUUCAUUCAUUUGAAAAUUUUUUUUAGGAUGAACUUAUUGCUGGGUUAUCUUAAUCUUAUAUUUUCUUGGAUUGCUGUGUCAUGCAGAGUUUUUCUUCAUUUAUGUUUUGGAGAGAAAAUGUUACCCUUUUUCUCCCUCCAAAUGUCAUCCCUUUAUGAUUUGAGAAGGACACAACUUACACAUGUUAAACGAAGGUAAGUUUCAUGCUACUUAAGUUUCAUACUUUACUUAAAUGUAAAGCUGAAAUCUUAGAGUUAAAGAUAUUAGGGAGCAAUUUAUAUCCAUGCUAAUAGAGAAAAAACUGAAAACCUAUCACUAUAAUGUCAGAAGUUCACAGUAAUCAGGAAACGUGACCCUGUGUAAAUUUCUGUUAGGAUGAAGACUGAGUAUACCACAAAGAGUAAUCAGUUAAAUCACAUUCUGAAUGCCCUAAGUGAGCAGGCUGAAAUCUGCCUGAGAUCCCCAAUUAAGACACAGCCUAGAAGAAAUCAACGAUUCCAUUAUCUCCUUGCUGAAAUUAGAAAGGAUGCUAAUCAAAGGUCAAACAUGCUUUAUCAUGUUGAAUUUAAUGUUCAACAGGUCAUUGGAAAUUUUCAAGGCAUAACAAUGUUCUUUGAAUUAGUACUUUUUCAUUAAUGAAAGAGCACAAUAGAAUUACAAGGGUGAAAAAAAUUAGCUAAAAUGACAUAAAUAGUGAUUCAUGAAGCCCGAUAUCUCUUAGUCUAUUGACCAUGACAGGAUACUUCAUUAACAUUUAAAAACACCACAUAUAAAAAAAAAAAAAAAAGGGAAAGAGAGAGAACACUUUGAGCAUGUUCUUUAUAUCAUCCUGGUUUGUUUUACAAUGUAAUUAAAGCCAUGUUUGGGGGUCAGAGAUGAUCAAUUUGUUUAAUCUUCCAAAAUUCCUUUUUCACACAAACAUGAAAAGCUUUUAAUAUCUCUUCAAUCAUAUUUUAAUACAAAUAUAUUUUAUAUAUGGUUUAUAUUAACAUAAUACACAUAAUCUUACAUAAUAUGUAAGAUUUUCAUAUAUAUGCUUUUUUUGUGAAUCAUUUAAAUAUUUAAAAAAAUAUUCAUUUAUACAAAGUCCACAUAUGCCCCAGUAAAAAGGAAUAUAGUCUCAAUUACUUAGAUUUUCAUUCAGGAAAUACCAUAGGUUUGAGUGAAAUACAAGAAAUAGUUAAUGUGAAUGCAAACUAAUUUCUCUUUACAGCUGAAAUGUUACACAACUUGAAAGUAACAUAAGCCUGUCCACAGCAUUAAGCACACUCCUACUCUCUUCUAACCUAUUUUCUGAAAUCAAAGUUAGGAUAUAGAAUUUAUCUAAGUCAUUUCAACCCUAUCUUUCAAAAACCAAAGGUGGUAUCCAUUUAUUAUCCUACCUUAACUCACAUCACUUUAUAAAUACGCUUCCUUUUAAGAAAGUUGUAUCAUAAAAUAAUAUGUAAAACACAUUUGCCCUAAACAUUAAAACUUUUUAAAAUGCUUAAUCAUUAAAAAUGAGGGAUUUCUUCUAUUCUUAUUUUUUUAAAUGUUCAUAAUUGCAGG